rnacentral:rRNA from 1 species
GUCCACGCCGUAAACGAUGCUAACUCGUUUUUGGGUCUUCGGAUUCAGAGACUAAGCGAAAGUGAUAAGUUAGCCACCUGGGGAGUACGUUCGCAAGAAUGAAACUCAAAGGAAUUGACGGGGGCCCGCACAAGCGGUGGAUUAUGUGGUUUAAUUCGAUGAUACGCGAGGAACCUUACCAAGGCUUAAAUGGGAAUUGACAGGCUUAGAAAUAGGCUUUUCUUCGGACAAUUUUCAAGGUGCUGCAUGGUUGUCGU